CAUGGCUCACAUUGAAGGUACAGCAGAAGCGAAUAGAACCCCAGCUGAUGGAAAGUGGUUCUGACCUAAAAUACACAGGUUAAAUAACUAAGAAAUGUUGCCAAAUAACAGAGGCUCAGCUGUGAACACAGAACAUGCACUGGAACUGGCUUCUGAAAGGCAAGCCAGCUGGCUGCUUUAGAAAAAGUCUUGGGGAAAAAAAUAGCCUUUCUCAUCUAGUUCACAAAUGCUUUCCCCUCAGAUCUGGCUUUAUGACACAAGUCCUCUGUUAUCUCAUCACACAAGAUCACCUCAUUCUUGGGAAGCACCCCAAGACCAACAAGAUCAAAUAUUGGCAUGCCUCGCUGUACGCUCUGAGUUUUCGCACGUUCUCGCUUGCUGACUGUCCUGGUUACUCACUGAAUGCUAGACACGGCACUGUGCAGUGAGUGAGAAGUAUACCAAGUCUGAAGACUCAUCUAACCUAUGUCUAAUAGGUAUGUGUAUUGGGGUGUAUGUGUACGUAUGAUUGACAAUUGAAACUGUGGAGGUUUUUAAG
rnacentral:lncRNA from 1 species